UACGUAGGGGGCUAGCGUUGUCCGGAAUCAUUGGGCGUAAAGCGCGUGUAGGCGGUCCGGUAAGUCCGCUGUGAAAGUCGGGGGCUCAACCCUCGAAUGCCGGUGGAUACUGGCGGGCUAGAGUGCGGAAGAGGCGAGUGGAAUUCCUGGUGUAGCGGUGAAAUGCGCAGAUAUCAGGAGGAACACCGGUGGCGAAGGCGGGUCUCUGGGCCGAUACUGACGCUGAGGAGCGAAAGCGUGGGGAGCGAACAGG
rnacentral:rRNA from 1 species